rnacentral:rRNA from 1 species
CUCAGGACGAACGCUGGCGGCGUGCUUCAUACAUGCAAGUCGAACGAGAAUCUCACUUCGGUGAGAGGAAAAGUGGCGGACGGGUGAGUAAUGUGUAGAGAAUCUGCCCUAGAGUGAGGGACAACAGAGGGAAACUUCUGCUAAUACCUCAUAUGCGCGUAGCUGAGAUGCUAUUCGUGAAAAACUCCGGUGCUCUGGGAUGAGUCUGCAUCUGAUUAGCUAGUUGGGGGUGUAAUGGACCACCAAGGCGACGAUCAGUAGCUGGUUUGAGAGGAUGAUCAGCCACAAUGGGACUGAGACACGGCCCAUACUCCUACGGGAGGCAGCAGUAGGGAAUUUUGCGCAAUGGGGGAAACCCUGACGCAGCAACGCCGCGUGAACGAAAAAGCCCUUCGGGGUGUAAGGUUCUGUCAGUGGGGACGAAACUUGACGGUACCCACAGAGGAAGCAUCGGCUAACUCCGUGCCAGCAGCUGC